rnacentral:rRNA from 1 species
AACGACCCGCGAACUUGUAUUCAAAACUCGGGUGGCACGGGCGCAGUACUUCGGUACUCGCCCGUCGUCCCCUCGUCGGGAGCGCACGCACUGCCUCGGCAAUGCUUGCUCCUCCCGACACAUAAACGAACCCCGGCGCGGUAUGCGCCAAGGAAUUGUAACAAAGACAGCUUGCACGGAAGCCCCGUUCGCGGGUGCCGAAGGGCAACGCCGUCUUACACAAAAACUAAACGACUCUCGGCAACGGAUAUCUCGGCUCUCGCAUCGAUGAAGAACGUAGCGAAAUGCGAUACUUGGUGUGAAUUGCAGAAUCCCGUGAACCAUCGAGUUUUUGAACGCAAGUUGCGCCCGAAGCCAUUAGGCCAAGGGCACGUCUGCCUGGGCGUCUCACAUCGCGUCGCCCCCAACCUCAUUCUCUUCGGGAAUCACGGUUUUGGGAGCGGAAAUUGGUCUCCCGUACACGCUGCUGUGCGGUUGGCCUAAAUAAGAGUCGACGUGGACGAGCGUCACAACAAGUGGUGGUUGUUAAACCGUUGCGUUGCUGUUGUGCG